GACUGAGUAGCUCAGUUGGAUAGAGCAUCGUUUUCCUAAAACGAGGGUCGAAGGGUCCGAGUCCCUCCUCAGUCA
rnacentral:tRNA from 2 species